CCCAGACAAUUUGGUGUAUAUCCUGAGCUCAGCUCCCAGCACCUCUGCUUUUUUGGAGAGGGUUGAGACGGCAAACAGAUACUGCUGUCUUCUUAGAGGGGAGAGUGGGAGGUCAUCUGUGUAUGUUGCCUGCGUCUGGAUCCAGAGG